rnacentral:rRNA from 1 species
AUUGAACGCUGGCGGCAUGCCUUACACAUGCAAGUCGAACGGCAGCACGGGUGCUUGCACCUGUUGGCGAGUGGCGAACGGGUGAGUAAUACAUCGGAACAUGUCCUGUAGUGGGGGAUAGCCCGGCGAAAGCCGGAUUAAUACCGCAUACGAUCCACGGAUGAAAGCGGGGGACCUUCGGGCCUCGCGCUAUAGGGUUGGCCGAUGGCUGAUUAGCUAGUGGGUGGGGUAAAGGCCUACCAAGGCGACGAUCAGUAGCUGGUCUGAGAGGACGACCAGCCACACUGGGACUGAGACACGGCCCAGACUCCUACGGGAGGCAGCAGUGGGGAAUUUUAGACAAUGGGCGAAAGCCUGAUCCAGCAAUGCCGCGUGUGUGAAGAAGGCCUUCGGGUUGUAAAGCACUUUUGUCCGGAAAGAACUCCUUGACUCUAAUACAGUCGGGGGAUGACGGUACCGGAAGAAUAAGCACCGGCUAACUACGUG